UACGUAGGUGGCAAGCGUUGUCCGGAAUUAUUGGGCGUAAAGCGCUCGCAGGCGGUUCUUUAAGUCUGAUGUGAAAUCUUGCGGCUCAACCGCAAACGUGCAUUGGAAACUGGAGGACUUGAGUGCAGAAGAGGAGAGUGGAAUUCCACGUGUAGCGGUGAAAUGCGUAGAGAUGUGGAGGAACACCAGUGGCGAAGGCGACUCUCUGGUCUGUAACUGACGCUGAGGAGCGAAAGCGUGGGGAGCGAACAGG
rnacentral:ncRNA from 2 species